UACGUAGGGUGCAAGCGUUGUCCGGAAUUAUUGGGCGUAAAGAGCUCGUAGGCGGUUUGUCGCGUCUGCUGUGAAAAUCCAGGGCUUAACCCUGGACCUGCAGUGGGUACGGGCAGACUGGAGUGCGGUAGGGGAGAUCGGAAUUCCUGGUGUAGCGGUGAAAUGCGUAGAUAUCUGGAGGAAUACCGGUGGCGAAGGCGGCAUCCUGGACCGACAUUGACGCUGAACGGCGAAAGCUAGGGGAGCAAACGGG
rnacentral:rRNA from 1 species